rnacentral:rRNA from 1 species
UACGAAGGGGGCGAGCGUUGUUCGGAAUUACUGGGCGUAAAGCGCACGUAGGCGGAUUUGUAAGUCAGGGGUGAAAUCCCGGGGCUCAACCCCGGAACUGCCUUUGAUACUGCAAAUCUCGAGUCCGGAAGAGGUGAGUGGAAUUCCUAGUGUAGAGGUGAAAUUCGUAGAUAUUAGGAAGAACACCAGUGGCGAAGGCGGCUCACUGGUCCGGUACUGACGCUGAGGUGCGAAAGCGUGGGGAGCAAACAGG